rnacentral:rRNA from 1 species
CCUACGGGUGGCAGCAGUGAGGAAUAUUGGUCAAUGGGAGAGAUCCUGAACCAGCCAAGCCGCGUGAGGGAAGACGGCCCUAUGGGUUGUAAACCUCUUUUGUCGGAGAACAAAACCCGGGACGCGUCCCGGACUGCGUGUAUCCGAAGAAAAAGCAUCGGCUAACUCCGUGCCAGCAGCCGCGGUAAUACGGAGGAUGCGAGCGUUAUCCGGAUUUAUUGGGUUUAAAGGGUGCGGAGGCGGUCUGUUAAGUCAGCGGUCAAAUCGCGGGGCUCAACCCCGUCGAGCCGUUGAAACUGGCAGACUUGAGUUGGCGAGAAGUACGCGGAAUGCGCGGUGUAGCGGUGAAAUGCAUAGAUAUCGCGCGGAACACCAGUGGCGAAGGCGGCGUGCCGG